rnacentral:rRNA from 1 species
UACGGAGGGGGCUAGCGUUGCUCGGAAUCACUGGGCGUAAAGCGCACGUAGGCGGCUUUUUAAGUCAGGGGUGAAAUCCUGGAGCUCAACUCCAGAACUGCCUUUGAUACUGAGAGGCUUGAGUCCGGGAGAGGUGAGUGGACUGCGAGUGUAGAGGUGAAAUUCGUAGAUAUUCGCAAGAACACCAGUGGCGAAGGCGGCUCACUGGCCCGGUACUGACGCUGAGGUGCGAAAGCGUGGAGGCAGCAAGG